UACUCGGUAGGCUAGGUGGGUAAAGCUCGUAGGCCGUGGGAUUUGCGUUCUCAAGGGGGUGAUGUUUGACCUCGGGUAG
rnacentral:tRNA from 1 species